CUGCCCAGGCGAGUCAACUUCACGCGUUAGCUUCGUUACUAAGGAAAUGAAGUCCCCAACAACUAGUUGACAUCGUUUAGGGCGUGGACUACCAGGGGUAUCUAAUCCUGUUUGCUCCCCACGCCUUUCGUGCAUGAGCGUCAGUAUUGGCCCAGGGGGCUGCCUUCGCCAUCGGUAUUCCUCCACAUCUCUACGCAUUUCACUGCUACACGUGGAAUUCUACCCCCCUCUGCCAUACUCUAGCCUUGCAGUCACGAAUGCAGUUCCCAGGUUAAGCCCGGGGAUUUCACAUCCGUCUUACAAAACCGCCUGCGCACGCUUUACGCCCAGUAAUUCCGAUUAACGCUUGCACCCUACGUAUUACCGCGGCUGCUGGCACGUAGUUAGCCGGUGCUUAUUCUUCCGGUACCGUCAUCCCCCCGAGGUAUUAACCCAGAGGAUUUCUUUCCGGACAAAAGUGCUUUACAACCCGAAGGCCUUCUUCACACACGCGGCAUUGCUGGAUCAGGCUUUCGCCCAUUGUCCAAAAUUCCCCACUGCUGCCUCCCGUAGGAGUCUGGGCCGUGUCUCAGUCCCAGUGUGGCUGGUCGUCCUCUCAGACCAGCUACAGAUCGUCGCCUUGGUGAGCUUUACCCCACCAACUAGCUAAUCUGACAUCGGCUGCUCUUGUAGCACGAGGCCCGAAGGUCCCCCGCUUUUCUCCUCAGAGCGUAUGCGGUAUUAAUCGGCUUUCGCCGAGCUAUCCCCACUACAAGGUCAUUCGAUGUAUACUACCCGUCGCACUGCACAGGUCAGACCGGCUCGUCACUCAGGUAGAUCGGCACGCACUAGCGUUAACAAUGAAUU
rnacentral:rRNA from 1 species